rnacentral:snRNA from 1 species
CUGAGAAGGGUUCGAGUGU